GUGUCAAAAAGGGCUGCAAGUAUGUCUCCGUUAAUUUCAGAACAGAUUAAUCUCAAAAUCUUUACACAUUAUCGGGUCAAUAUCAGCUUGAUGCGCUUAGAUUGUGUUCAGACGUGCUUUUGCUCUGAAAACCGGAAGUAUUUUUGUUUACUGCGCAACGGUGAGGACACCUGAGUGUUCCGUCUAAAGGUCCAAAGAGUUUGAGCAUCACUUAACACACAGUUACCAGAACAGAACAGAACAGGUGUACUUCACAGCCCUCUGAAGCAAAGCCCAGCCUGCAGGAGACAGGUUCCUCCACAAGGACCAAGAUUGUCAUAGUGCCUCCGACUGCCACAGUGCAGCUCCUUGGCGUUGGUCUCGUCCAGGCAGUGUGAAGUCGGCGGCGACACAAGGAGACUGAGAACGAGAUCGUUUUGCUUCAGGUCCGACGAGCUCCGCCCUCCGUUUACUCACCACUAAAGAAGAGAAGGAUCAUCAAAGCCCUGACAGUCACACAAGGGUGCAGCUCCUGCCCAGCAGAGGCAGCACUGAUGUCGGCUUGGCUCGCUGCGUCCACCUCUGUUUUCUGGACCUGCUGGCCGUCACUUGACAACGUAGACGGAUGUCUGUCCAAUGACAAAGAGGCGUCGACUGAAGCAGCGGCACCUGGUCCUGCUGUGCUGGACUGAGACGGGGUGGACCCACCAGGGCCACUGGUUUGCACAGCAGGCUGUGACCUAUCAUCUGAAGGUUCAGACGGAGGAGGCCGGCUCCGAUGUGACACUGCCGGAGGCUGAGCUUUAACUGUGAAGUGGAACCUGGAAAGAAACUGGAGUUGUAUUUCUUCAACACCUGUGUCACACCGCUGGAGUCGGCCAUUUCAAAACAUAUCUGAGGUGGAGCGACGGGGCAGGAUGCCGACAAAAGUCGCGAUGGACGCCACCUCCUGCAUGACCAUCUUCACCACUUUCAUGGACACCUUGGAAACAUCCACACACAGCAGUCUGUCCUCCAGAGACUCUGGCUCUAGAACUCCCUGAAGACCAAGAAAUAGCUGGUGGUAAGGAGCAGUGACCCAAAGGGAGCUGAAUUUCACUUGACAAAAGAUUUACAGAAAUGCCCAGGUGUCCUCUGGAGUUUUUCUUCAGUGUCCAUACCUCGCUGUAUUCAGGAUUCAUCUGUUGUAAGACAAAGUGGACGCUGAGUUUGCACCCCCUGACAGAAACCGGAUUUGCGAUGUGAUCUCGGACAAAAUCGCAGCAUGAAGUCCAGUCAGCGAAAAACACGAAGGCCUGGAGUUCAUCAGAUGCAUGCAGAUCCAGAGUGUUUCUCCAGUUCCCAAGGAAAAUAAACGCAGCAUCUCCAACGCAUCCUCCAGUACCAUUUGGCAUGCAGUCUUUUUAGUUACUCCCUACAACAGAGACUUACGCAGUGUUGAGCCGAACGGCGCCUUCAGCCUGUGGACCUCGUAUCUGGGGACGUGUUUCAGGAGACUGUACCAGACCCCGAGCCGAUCAGCAUCAUAAACAGACUUAAACUCGAUGAACACCUGAAACACAACAUGCAAACGCAGCAGAGGACCUCGAUGGCCUUUACCACAGAGAUCAGCGUCUUCUUAACUUGGAGGAGGCAUACAGUCCAGGCUGGGCUUUGCUUUAGAGGGCCCUGAAGUCAAGUCCUUCUUUGGUGUAGAAGAGGAGGAUGACUUCAUCUUGGCAAGCUCAGCCAGUAAGGCAGGAGCCAGAGUUUUAACCACAGCCUCCAGGUCAGACUGUUUU